UACGAAGGGGGCUAGCGUUACUCGGAAUUACUGGGCGUAAAGGGCGCGUAGGCGGCUCGGCCAGUCAGGCGUGAAAUUCCUGGGCUUAACCUGGGGACUGCGCUUGAUACUGCUGGGCUUGAGGCCGAGAGAGGGUGGUGGAAUUCCCAGUGUAGAGGUGAAAUUCGUAGAUAUUGGGAAGAACACCGGUGGCGAAGGCGACCACCUGGCUCGGUUCUGACGCUGAGGCGCGACAGCGUGGGGAGCAAACAGG
rnacentral:rRNA from 1 species